GAUGAAGAACGUAGCGAAAUGCGAUAAGUAAUGUGAAUUGUAGAAUUCAGUGAAUCAUCGAAUCUUUGAACGCACCUUGCGCCCUUUGGACAUUCCGAAGGGCAUGCCUGUUUGAGUAUCAUGAACACCUCAACUCUCACGGCUUGUCCGUGAUGAGCUUGGACUUUGGGGGUCUUGCCGGCCUGUGGUCGGCUCCUCUCAAAUGGAUCAGCUUGCCAGUGUUUGGUGGCAUCACAGGUGUGAUAACUAUCUGCGCUUGUGGUUUUCCAUCAGAUAACCUUCAGUGAUAUGGAGGUUCGCUGGAGCUCACAAAUGUCUCUCCUUAGUGAGGACAGCUCUUUGAACGUUUGAUCUCAAAUCAGGUAGGACUACCCGCUGAACUUAAGCAUAUCAAUAAGCGGAGGA
rnacentral:misc_RNA from 1 species